GAUGAACGCUGGCGGCGUGCCUAAUACAUGCAAGUCGAGCGAACGGACGCGAAGCUUGCUUCGCUGUUGUUAGCGGCGGACGGGUGUGUAACGCGUGGAUAACCUACCUAUAAGACUGGGAUAACUUCGGGAAACCGGAGCUAAUACCGGAUAAUAUUUUGAACCGCGGUGUUCAAAAGUGAGAGACGGUGUUGGUGGCACUUAUAGCUGGAUCCGCGCUGCAUUAGCUGGUUGUUAAGGUAACGGCUUACCACGGCAACGAUGCAUAGCCGAGCUGAGAGAGGGAUCGCCCACACUGGAGGGGAAACACGGUCCAGACGCCUACGGGAGGCAGCAGUAGGGAAUCGUACGCAACAGGCGAAAGCCUGACGGAGCGACGCCGCGUGAGUGAUGACGGUCUUCGGAUCGUAAAACUCUGUUAUUAGGGAAGAACAUAUGUGUAAGUAACUGUGCCCAGCGUGACGGUACCUAAUCAGAAAGCAACGGCUAACUACGUG
rnacentral:rRNA from 1 species